CCAGACAAGUUGACAACCCUAAAUAUGCAUGUAGCUGAAUUCCCUGAAUACAUUCAGGAUAUAUGUUUCUCAUAAUUUUUACUGUGUUGGUGUCAUGUACUCAGGUUGUCGUACUCACCUACAUUGGGCUAGUAUUCCAAAGCUUGUAGGUUCGAUUCCCACCAUGGCCAGGCAUAUUUUUUUAAGCUUGCCCUGUGUGGAUAUAUACUCAGAGUAACAUCACAAACAUUAUGUUUCUCAUAUUUAUACCUUUGAGGAAUUCCAAGCUCAAAAAUUAUAGUGUACCCCUGAUUGCCCUGAAGAAAUAUCCCAAUAUGCUAAGUACUAUACAGACUCUAAUAUGGCAUAAUAGUAAAUGAGUCAUGUUCACAUACCGUAAAAACAAUCACUUUCAAAAGAAAUCCAUCGGGCACAGAACACGAAUAUAUGAAUAUCCCCCCCCCCCACAUUAUCGGCCCUGGUCAAGCUACGGCCCUGGUCAAGUUGUGUGUUUAUAUGGAGCUGAGGCAGACCAGAUACCAUCUGGAGUUCAUUGUAGUGUUGUGCCAACUACUAAGAAAAAUUCAUGAUCCAUGUUUACUUGAGACUUUUCAGGCAGGU